CUACACAGAGCACACCGUCCCCACCCCACCAUCUCAACUCCUCCGCGCCCCAACCACACCCCACUGCCGCGCCCUCCACCGAGACCCCUGCGAGCACCCAACAAGGCUUCAAAGCAUGGGCCAUCGCCCCUAAGCACUCCGUCGGCGACCAUCGUACAGAGACCCCAAGCACUCUGCCAGCGACCAUCCUCCUCCGCCGUCGUCCCUCACCACCAUCCUCCUCUGCAGAUGUCCUCUCCCGAGCAGGCCCUCCGCACAAGCUCAACCGAGCACCAAGGAGGUCCUCAAGUGGCACCGCCUCCUUAUUGAGCUCCUCUGGCAGCUGCACCUUCUCCACCGGCCACACCUCCAUUAGAGAUUGGCAAGGAGCCUCCAGAACAUUGUCUCCUCUAGGUAGCACCUCAUCUACCUCCUUGCCCGAAGCAGCGCUGCCUCCCCUCUAAUUCCUUGCCUGAGUAGUGCCGUGUAGGUCCUCUGCUUCAUCGCCAGAGCAGCACCACAUCCUCUGCUUCUUAAUCAACGGCAAUUAUAGUGGAACUGGUCAAGAAUGGACAAGAGUUGGAUGGAUAAAGCUAGAAACACACAAGCAUAUAUUGACGGGGUAGUGAAACACACAAGCAAGAGGAAAUGUUAUAUUAUGUCCUUGUAAAAAAUGCUUCAAUUGUUGCUGGUGUGAAGCUAGUGCUGUCUAUGAAGACUUGUUAUGUUAUGGGUUUAUUAGUGGGUACAAAAGAUGGAUAUAUCAUGGGGAGUUGCAAUCACACAAAAAAUUCAUCAGAAAGGAAAGGAUGUGAUAUUUUAUAAUGUUUAUCGAGACAAUGCUAGCCCAGUGGCAAAAGCAAUCAUUCUAUCAAUUGAUCGGAGAAAGUUGGUAGGUGGUCAGGAGCUUGGCCUUGAAUAUUGUGAGGUUGUCGUGAACUAUGUAAUAAAAAGGGAUGCUAUACUACCUCGUGGUAUUGGGAACAUGAACACCAUGGGGCAAGCUCAAGGGCGGUGCAUCGCAUAGCCAUACAAGCAUUUGGAAGUGGACAAGCCCAUGGCAAAAGCAGGAACAACAAGCAAGCUGAGGAGAUGGAAGAUUUCUGUAUGUGCACUUCAAACAAUCCCUGCUUGAUCUAAUGAUGUAACAUUGCUUGUUGUGAUGAUGAAGUGUUGUACAUUUACAAGAAUUCUAUUUAUGCCGACUAGUUAAACUGCAGCAUGUUGUUACUUAAAAAAAAUCUGAAAUGAGAGUUACAUUUCGAAUUUCCUGUCUGUUACAGGUUUCACUACAGAAGUUGAUGGAGAUUAGGAAGAUCUUGAAGCUGCUGAAGAUUUGGAAGACCGAUGAUUAAGUUGGAGGAGUGAUGAUGUAAUAUGCUUUGUUUGUUGAACCUGGACAGUUGCUCUGUUCAUUUUGCUGGUUAAGCCCCUAUAUGCUCAUUUUGGUUGUGUGGCACUCCCAGAAACAUAUGUACUUUCUCCUUUUGUGGCAAUACUUUAGUUUGGUUGUGGAACAUUUAACAUAUAUGUACUGUAUCUUUUGUGGCAGAACCUCCUUAUAUAUAUUAUGUUUAUCGGAUGAA